rnacentral:rRNA from 1 species
UACGUAGGGCGCAAGCGUUAUCCGGAAUUAUUGGGCGUAAAGAGCUCGUAGGCGGUUUGUCGCGUCUGCCGUGAAAGUCCGGGGCUCAACUCCGGAUCUGCGGUGGGUACGGGCAGACUAGAGUGAUGUAGGGGGAGACUGGAAUUCCUGGUAUAGCGGUGAAAUGCGCAGAUAUCAGGAGGAACACCGAUGGCGAAGGCAGGUCUCUGGGCAUUAACUGACGCUGAGGAGCGAAAGCAUGGGGGAGCGAACAGG